CCUGCUCAGAUCAGGACACCACCUGUGUGGAGGGAACAUGUGUAUGUGAGACAGGGUACAGACAGCAUAGGACACAGUGUGUUCCAGAGAGAAGUGUGGUAGUCUGUGAUACCAUUGCUCAGUGUCCAGAGCCAGGUACUGUAUGUGAUGGCGGGGUCUGCAGCUGUCAAGAUGGAUUCUUUAGGAAACAAGACAGCUGUGUGCCUAAAGUUGCUUUGAAUGCAGACUGUGAGG